GAUGAACGCUGGCGGCGUGCUUAAUACAUGCAAGUCGAACGAAGCGCCUCUCCCGAAGAUAGACCCAGCUUGCUGGGGAUUGAUUCACCUGAGGUGACUGAGUGGCGGACGGGUGAGUAACGCGUGGGUAACCUGCCUUAUACAGGGGGAUAACAGUUGGAAACCACUGCUAAUACCGCAUAAGCGCACAGUACCGCAUGGUACAGUGUGAAAAACUCCGGUGGUAUAAGAUGGACCCGCGUCUGAUUAGCUAGUUGGUGAGGUAACGGCUUACCAAGGCAACGAUCAGUAGCCGACUUGAGAGAGUAAUCGGCCACAUUGGGACUGAGACACGGCCCAAACUCCUACGGGAGGCAGCAGUAGGGAAUAUUGCACAAUGGGGGAAACCCUGAUGCAGCGACGCCGCGUGAAGGAUGAAGUAUUUCGGUAUGUAAACUUCUAUCAGCAAGGAAGAAAAUGACGGUACUUGACUAAGAAGCCCCGGCUAAAUACGUGCCAGCCGCCGCGGUAA
rnacentral:rRNA from 1 species